rnacentral:rRNA from 1 species
UACGUAGGGUGCAAGCGUUGCCCGGAUUUAUUGGGCGUAAAGGGCUCGUAGGCGGUUUGUCACGUCGGGAGUGAAAACUCAGGGCUCAACCCUGAGCGUGCUUCCGAUACGGGCAGACUAGAGGUAUGCAGGGGAGAACGGAAUUCCUGGUGUAGCGGUGGAAUGCGCAGAUAUCAGGAGGAACACCGGUGGCGAAGGCGGUUCUCUGGGCAUUACCUGACGCUGAGGAGCGAAAGUGUGGGAGCGAACAGG